rnacentral:rRNA from 1 species
AUUGAACGCUGGCGGCAGGCUUAACACAUGCAAGUCGAGCGGAUAUGAGGUGCUUGCACCUUAUCUUAGCGGCGGACGGGUGAGUAAUGCUCAGUAAUCUGCCUAUUCGUGGGGGACAACAUUCCGACAGGAAUGCUAAUACCCCAUACGUCCACCGGGAGCCAGCAGGGGAUCUUCGGACCGUUUGCUAAAUGAUGAGCCUAAGUCGGAAUGGCGAGUUGGGGGGGUAAAGGCCUACCAAGGCGACGUGCUGUAGCGGGUCUGAGAGGAUGAGCCGCCACGCUGGGACUGAGACACGGCCCAGACUCCUACGGGAGGCAGCAGUUGGGAAUAUUGGACAAUGGGCGGAAGCCUGAUCCAGCCAUGCCGCGUGUGUGAGGAAGGCCUUUUGGUUGUAAAGCACUUGAAGCGAGGAGGAGGCUACUAGUAUUAAUACUACUGGAUAGUGGACGUUACUCGCAGAAGAAGCACCGGCUAACUCUGUGCCAGCCGCCGCGGUAACAC